rnacentral:lncRNA from 1 species
CAGAAAUCUGAUUGAAAAAUGCAAAAAAUAACAAUUCUAUGGUUUUUAAAAACUGGCUUAAAAAUCCACCUACUCAAAUGUGCUACGCACCACAUUCUGGCACUGAGGAGUCCUACUGGCCAUACUGCUAAGGACCUGGUUGGUGACGGGGAUCUGCUUCAAACUCCCAGCACCAGAGACACUGUCCAAAAGCUGCUGAGGACACAGGACACUCAUCAUGACUGGUUUAGUUUGAUGACCACUCCUUGAGGCCCGGGUCUUGCUAGGUCUCUAAGCUCCCCAGGCUGGCCUUCAACUUGUGAUCUUCCUGCCUCAGCCUCCCAAAGGGCUGGGAUUACAGGAGGGGAGAGGGAAUUCUGGGCUCUGGAUGGUUGAGAAGACUCUGCACAGGCUCCACCUGACAGCGGGCCGCCCAUUUCUGCUGCUGUCCUCCCUGCGGACCUGGAGUCACAGGUCCCAAAAAGCCAUGGCCCCGAUCCUCCGCCUACUGAGCCCACACCCAGAGUGGAAGUGUCAUGUUCUUUGCUCCCAGAGAGGGACAGUGCUUCCCUGUGGCAGGAUGGUGUCCUUGCUGAAGACCCUUCGGGAGAGGCAUUCACUGUGGCCUCCCAAGGCUAGUCCUGCAAUCUUCACUACAGGGCUUGAAGGAAAUUCGGGGACCCACCUGUCCAAGGCUGUCAUUUUACAGAUGGGGAAACUGAGGCACUGCACCCCCCCUCCCCCGGGAGCUCUCAAGUCCUAGUUCGUUUCCUCCACCUGUGCUGAACAUGAGCUUCAUGUGACCUGCAAUGAUGAGCAAACUGAGGCUUGGAGAAGCUGCUCUUUGUCUAAGUGACAAGGCCACUAAGAGAUACAGGCAAGACCUGAGCUGAUGACAUCCAUGCUCUUCCUCAUGGACUGCACCUCUGCCUAUGCCCCAUCCGCCCCUCGCCCAGCCUCCUCCCAGCUUCUCCAUUGCUGUGUUUAAUCUGGAGUGAUCAGAAAUGACAGGAGAAAUAAAGGUCUGGGAAAAGAUUUACCAGAGAAAAUAAAGCCAGCCGAUGAUA